rnacentral:tRNA from 1 species
CAUUAGAUGACCGAAAGUAAGUUCAGGUCUUUUAAACCUGCUAUAGUAGAGUAACGACUACUUCUAAUGA